rnacentral:rRNA from 1 species
GUAGUCCUUGCUGUAAACUAUGUAUACUUGGUGUAGCCGGAAUCAACCCUGGCUGUGCCGGAGCUAACGCGUUAAGUAUACCGCCUGGGGAGUACAGUCGCAAGGCUGAAACUCAAAAGAAUUGACGGGGACCCGCACAAGCAGUGGAGCAUGUGGUUUAAUUCGAUGCAACGCGAAGAACCUUACCCAGACUUGACAUGCAGUAGACAGCUCCAGAAAUGGAGUCUUCCUUCGGGACUGCUGCACAGGUGCUGCAUGGCUGUCGUCAGCUCGUGCCGUGAGGUGUUGGGUUAAGUCCCGCAACGAGCGCAACCCUUAUCGUUAGUUGCCAACAUUUAAGGUGGGAACUCUAACGAGACUGCCUGGGUUAACCAGGA